UUAACAAGUUGUUGGCAAAAAGCCAAGAAGUUUAUAUGGCAUGGCCAUAAAGGGAAAAGUUCCCUUGAGGAAAAUCCGUUAGGCGAGUGGAAAAAAUAGUCGGGGAAAACUUUAUUUGCCCAUUCCGGCUGCAUAUUCCCAAAGUCAGUCAGUCAGUCCGUUUUCCCGCUUUCCAUUCCUGCUUCGUGGUCCUGGCCGCGCAUUUCCGUUACAUGCCAAACACUUUUGGCCUUUGUCCCGGCACCGCAAAAGUCACCGCCUGGCGCAUACAAAUUAAUCAUUCGGUCAAAAAGGUUUGAGUUUGGGUUCCCGGGCUCGAGUGCAAGCGAUUUCGCGAGUUCCAGGACGACACGGGCACAAGGAGUGGGCUUCGGCAGUAUUUUGGCAGUUUUUGGAUCUCAACGGGCCUUGGGAUUCGCAUCACCACUUGGCACUGGCGACUGCAAUGCCAAAGGUUAAUGCACCAUUCGACUGUCUCCUCUUGGCCGCUUCCAAUGGACGUUUUCAAGUGCAAAUGGCCAGGGAGCUCCCAGGCAGCGGGGAUACCAAGGCCGCCCGCAAGUGGGGCAUUCCCGCCACCAUCAUUAAAUCAGAAACCAAACAAAAUAUUAUAGACCGGAGUUGGAAACGCACCACAUACAUAUAGAAACCACGCCAGACUGGACCCAGACCCACAACCGAAACAGACGAGAGUGGUGAGAAGGAUCUUUGCGACGACGCCCAGUCAUUAGAAUUCCCUUUUUCGAAAAUGUUAUGCACCAAACUUGGCAAAAAGGAGCAGGCCAACCAGGACGACCAAAAAGCAAAACGAAUUUCAUUAAAUUAGACGUAACGGAAACAAAGUCGUUAAAACUUGGC
rnacentral:sRNA from 1 species